UCUAUAUUUUGUUCAGUAAAGGGUUAGAUCUGACACCCCUGGGAGGCUACUAUAGGCUCUCAUUCUCAACUUCUACUCAAUACGUCCACGACGUGGAAAACGGUAAUUUGUCGCCUAGAUAUUCAAGCUUGGGUACACGGGGAUGAUGGGUACACGCGAGUGAUUGGAUGGUGGCCGAUCAAUGAACCGA
rnacentral:ribozyme from 1 species